ensembl:lncRNA
CAAAGGUUCAAGUAGGCAGAAAGGAAUAAAAAUUUGCUCGAGUCAGUCUUCUGCAAGAUUGGACAAGAGAGAUCAUUAUGGAAAGAGAUCAUUAGAGCAUUUUCUCUCAUAGACUAAUUUUUCUGUGCAUAUGCCCUGGAAUUGUUAACUCAAAGUGUGGAUUCCUCCUGGUUCACCUGGAAGUCUUCUCUUUUUCCAAUACCUGACUUUGCAUCAUAAAACUUCAUCUGCUGUCAGAGGUGUACCCACAAAAAAGCAAAGAGUAUGUGACUAAAGAGUGAUUAUGAGCUCAAAGGUGCAGCACUGCAGUGGAGCUCAGAGGAGAUGACAUUUACUGAGAAGGAACCACACGCUAAGCAUCCUGUUUCAUUGUCCCAACAGCACACAGAGGUGGAUACUGCUGGUAACCAGUUCUUUUACAGAAGAGUAAACCAGAGUUCUGUGAGAACUUCAAUUUCAGGUGAUAAAGCACAACUCAAACUGAUGUUAAUGAAAGGCAGGAAGACCAGCAAGGAGAGUACCAGUCCCAGGCACCAGAGAUCACCUGGCUCCAACAGGUCUGAGGCCCAGGCCUCAUUUUGCUCAGACUUUUGGACUCUACUCACUUCCACACUGCCUGCAUUUUCAAAACGGCUUUUGUUGUGUGGUGCUCCCCAACCCUUCACCUGGAAACUCCACAUUUACAGCCAGCCAGAGGCGGGUCAGGUGUUCCUCACUGCUGUGUCCCCCACAAUCCUCAUUGUGG